rnacentral:rRNA from 1 species
UACAGAGGUGGCAAGCGUUGUUCGGAAUUACUGGGCGUAAAGCGUGCGCAGGCGGUUAUGUAAGACAGGUGUGAAAUCCCCGGGCUUAACCUGGGAACUGCAUUUGUGACUGCAUAGCUAGAGUACGGUAGAGGGGGAUGGAAUUCCGCGUGUAGCAGUGAAAUGCGUAGAUAUGCGGAGGAACACCGAUGGCGAAGGCAAUCCCCUGGACCUGUACUGACGCUCAUGCACGAAGCGUGGGAGCAACAGG